rnacentral:tRNA from 1 species
UUUUUUUCUUAAAUUUAGAUAUAUGUAUUUGGACCUAAAAUAUGUUUUAUAUUCAGUGUCAUUUUAAAUAUUCUACUUGCAAUGGGAACAUAAUAGUGAAUUAGCUGUUACAUAAGUAGUAAAUGAAAGGUCAGUUCUGCUAGUCCUUCAUUACAAGUCAAAACAAAAGGUAUUGCAUUAUUGAAAACUAGUUAAUGGUCAUGGUAAUUAAGAAAUAUUAAUAAAAAGCUAUCACUUUUGCCAUCUUUCAUUUUACAUAGAUUUACCACAUAAGAGAUAUUACUUCAUGUAGUGGUUAGUUUUGGCAAGAUUGGUAUAUUCUUUUUUAAAACAGAAUUCCCUUCAAGAAACUAACCAAAAGUAGCUAAAACUUUAUGGCUGAAGCGUUUGAGCCAUAUAAAUAUUCUAAGAUGGUCAUGAAUUGAAACUCUGUAUCAAGAUUUAUCUGCAUUUACAUCACUUUUGAGUUUGUAGUUAAUGCUUUGUAACAACCCAUACUUAGAUAUAAUUUGAAACUUCUUUUCUUCUUAUGACAUAUACUUACACAAGCAUUAAAUGGCUUUGCUAAGAAAUCUUUUAUGUAUGAAUGUGAGUACAUUUUAUAGGUCUAAUGGAAAAUGUAAAAUCUAGGGCUUACAUGGAUUAAGGAGGAAGACUUAAAUGUUCAGAGACCCUAAGUCAUCACUUUGCUUCUCAUGUUAAUAUGAGAAUAUUCUUUGCUUGUAUUAUACUGCUUUAUAAUUGCAAAGCAAUGAACAGUGUACUCCAUUAUUUCUUAAAAUGUUCUCUUUCCUCAGGCUAAAAUACUUGAAUAUUUUUAAUGUUGAAAAAACAGCCACUGCUCUCUUUAAAAAGAAGUAGUUUUGUUUAGGGAGUUGAUAUAAUAACCUUAAGAAGUAUAAAGCACUAUUGAAGUACCUGAAUGUUAGUUUUAAAGUUAAAAUGUGCUCGAAGUGAAAAUGAGGCUUUUUUUGCUCAAUUUUAGAUUAAAAAAAAUUAUGUGAAUGUAACUUUUCUCUCUACCCUUAAUUACUAUUCCCAAACUGUCUACCAACUUUCUUUUUGCUGCCUAUUAUCUUAAUAAGGACAAUGCUGAUAGUAUGAGUUUUCAUUUAGAACACCUGUUAAGUCUCUAGUGCUUACAGAAAAAAAAAAAAAAAAGCAAAUGCUCUAGAUUAGAAAAUGAUAUCACCUGUAUCUCCAGAUUUGAGUUUCUUGUUUUGUUUUCUUUGCGUUACUGUCCAUCACUCUAGAUUAGAAAAUGAUACAACCUAUAUCUCUAGAUUUGGGUUUCUUGUUUUGUUUUACAUUACUGUCCAUCACAUAGCCUGUGCUAUUGUUUUAUUAAUCUCAGAGAUCCUUUUCAAAGUUCCAUUCAUUUUUGAAAUUAGAGUCUUUUUGAACAGAAUGUCCUUUCUUUACAAAAAAGAGUUCCCUGGUGGCCUAGAAGUUAAGGAUUUGAUAUUGUCACUGCUGUGGCUCAGGUUCGAUCCCUGACCUGGGAAUUUCUGCAUGUGACAGGGGCAGCUUAUGUAUAUAUGUUAUAUAUGCUUUAAGCUUAUAUAAUCUUAAAAUAAAAUUCAUAUUCAAAUUCAAAUUAUUUUAUGAAAGAAUCUAUCCAUGCAAAUAGUCUUGUGAUAUGAACUUAAACAACAAAAAAUUUUUUUAAAACUUUUUCUUUUCAUAAGGAUUAGUAUAGAAUGUUUUAGUCCUGCGAAUUUUUGAAACAAUUUUAAGAACCAAAAGAGAAACCUUUAGAUAAUUGCUAAUUUAAAUGUCCUUAAGGACCAAAUGGAAUUGAUCAUGCCAGUCUCAGCGGUGUUCUUGGUAAUGUGAGUAUUUUUGUAGUUGUCUAAUUCCUCCACCCUCCUCACAUUCACACAAUUGGAUUGUAGACUUAGAUAUUCUAAGGUACGUAUCUUCUCAGUCAUGUUACAUCCUUCCAAGGGCCUAGUUCUGCAGUGUGCCCAUUAAAGGGUCUAUAAUCAUCCUUUCUACUUGGUAUAUGGGCAAACAGACUUUAAAUUAUCAAGGAAAAGUAUCAGACUUUUCUAGACUUCUGGAAAAAUAGUGUUCAUUACGUUGCCAUCCUCAUAUAAUUAACAUAUAUGUAUACAGGUGUUUGUGAGUAUUCGUCAUAUAAACUCCAGGGAGUGAAAAAAUCAGUAUGUUUAACAUCCCAGAGGUGUGAAUAAGCACAUGGACUCUAGGAAGCUAAAAAUCAUGGCUUUCCUUUUAAUGAUAGGCAGUUGAAUUUAGUGAAACAGCUUGAAAAUUCAUUUGGUAAAAAUAUCAAAAUGUGAAGAAAAGUGAAUGGAGACUCCAUCUUAAUGUGUAUGAUAACAUUUAAUAGGCCAGUAUCCUUAUCAUAAAAUAAGGGUUUGGCUUAAUACAUUUUUUUCAAAUUCUUCUGCUUUAAAAAUGCCGUGAUGUUAAAUCUAUCAUGUAAGAAGACAGGAAUACUUUUUUUCUAAAAUGUAGCCAAAUUUGUCUAAACACCAAACCAACAGGAUGAGUUAAUCACUGAACAAAGUAACUAUCUAUCGCUUCUGCUGACCUACUGCAAUGAUUGGUAUACGUUUUGGAAGAUAGUUAAUUUUCUCAAAUGACUAAUAUUUGGACUAUCAUUACCAAGUGUUCUACUGCAUAAAUCAGUCAAACAGUUCACUAAAUAGUCCCCAUGUGUCUUGGAAGGUGAUGUACCUCUGAAGUCCCCAAGGAGUAAGUUACUUGGCAGAGUUUUAGCCAAUAAUUAUGGCUUUUAGGACAGAUAGAUGUAUUCUGUGCUGCAAUGAGUCUCCCUCGCUGACUUAAAAUGUCAAGUUUUGUUUUUAAAAAUGUUAAAAUUAAACUAAGGGGAAGAUAGUAAUUAUAAUGAUGUAGCUCAAUACUUAAAAUCAUUAAUAUCUUUUAUGGAGAAACUGGUUGUAACUGUUACCUAAAUUCAUAUUUUAAAAUCCCAAGGCACUACCAUAGGCCAGAGUUUCAGCAUUUUGCAUUCCCAGAGAUUUUUUAAUUGAAGAUACGGAGGCUUAAAUGUGCUAGAUUGUCCCAUGAAAAUGACAUGGGUACUUUAGAAAGCAUUUUUUGGCAAGGAGUAGGUGAAAGAACUAAGCCCUCACUUCUCAUAAUCAGCUACUUCCAUGGAUUUGGGAUUCUCACAAUAUUUUAAAAGCUAUUUCUCCCUAGGUUGUUUGUGCUGUAUUAAUUUAUUAUCAUUUUUUUCAUCUCUGUGUCAUUCUGACUUGACUAUGAGGUUCCAGAAUUUAGAUUCUGUAUUUUACCUCAUCUACAAAAUCUAGAUGCCAACCUCAUGCUCAGUUCAUGCAAAUUCAGUAACUAUAUUGGAAUAAAUGACAUGAAUGAUAUUUCCAUAUGUUUGUCCUACACUGUAAGUGCAUAGUUUAUGUUUUAAGAAGGGACAAUUUAAGGAAACCAGAGCAUAACAGCUUUAAGAAUUUUUAUUUUAUACUUUGUUUCCAUAAUGAGAAGGAAAAGGAAAAUUUUAAAUUAAAACUCUGUAAAAGUGUCAUAGUUUAUAAGGACCAAAACAACUGUUUUCCCAUGAAACAGCAAACUUGUGGACCAUCAUAGUUCUCAACCAUAGUUUGGGAAGAAAAAAUGGGGAAAUGUAGAUGCCAAGAUAUGGGUAGCAAGAAGAACUCAGGAAUGAUUUAUGAUUUUCCCAUUAGCCAUUUAAAGUAAGGGUGGGAAAGUAUCAUCAGUAGCAUUAGCAGAUCACCAUAUAUGUCAGUCAGAGUUCUUGGCUGCAAAAACUGAAAAUUAUCCCAGUUAACUAAAGUAGAGAAGGGAUGUAUUAGAAAGAUAGCUCAGAAAAAUUGACUGGAAGUUUAGAUGGGAUAUUCAAAAGAAAUCAAGAGAAACAUGAUAUCAUAACUAUUGAAUACUUACCAUGCAUGAGUAGCAAAGUUGAUGAAUAAUAGGUCCACCACAAAUUAAGAAAAGCAUUAUCUGAUCAGCAAAAUCUAGACAGGCUUUGCUCUAAAGAACCGAAGACUCAUUUAAAAGAUGAGAAAUGGGUAGAGACCAAAUUUCUUUAAACAUAGUUUACUCUUUAAAAUUCAAUGUCUUAAAUUUAGACUAAGCGAUGGAGGAAACAGCCCUGAAGAAUAUUGCUUUAUAAUAGCUUUUUCCUAAAUUCUAAAAAUUUAGGAAUUUGCCCAUGAUCCAUGCUGUGUAUGACUUUUUAUAGUAAUUUUGCUACCAAACUAAUUUGUGAUCCAGAGAGUUUAUAAAAAUGAGUCAUAAUUUUCUUUCUAAUUUUACUGUGAUCUAAAGACUUUUAGGAAUCAUUCAAUAGCUAUUUUCUAAAUACACAGUAGUACUACUUAGUAUUUAAAGUUCUAUGUAGAAUCCCUACAGCUAUGGGGUUUGUAUUUUGUUACAUUAUGAUAAGGUAUUUGAGAAAAAAUGAGUUCUUAUUAGGAUCAUCACUAUUUAGACUUAGAAGAUUCUUUAUAUUGAACAAGAUUAUUGAUGAUGUAAUUCAGUGCCCAGAAAAUAUUUAGCAUGCAAAAUAAAAUGAAAAUAUUUACUUAGCAGAAAUACAUGUUAAUUCCAUUGUAGGCCUCACUCAUAUAUUUUUAAAAUGUCUAUAAAUUAAAGAGUAGUUGUCUAUGGAAUAAAGUAUAUGAAUGUUGCUUCAAAGUAGAGUUCCAAUGUGUGUUUAUUAAAUCAAACCUUAAGACACUAGCUUAAAUAUUAUAUGAGGUAUGUAGAAGAAGACUGGCUGUGUGGACUAUGGAAAAGUGGACAGUAGUGGCAGUUAAGAGGCGAAACUUUUUUUUUUUAUUAUUGUUAUUUGGUUUGUUGUUUUACUCAGUGUUUUCAGUCUGGAAUCCUAUAGUUUCCAUUGUCUAUGCAGUUUGUCAAAACUGUACUCACAAAUACAAUAGAGGAGAAAGAAGUCAAACCCU